AAAACAAACUUGAGGGCUGGAGCACCACCUGUCAUCUUGGACCAUGAGGUGACCUCGAAGAUGGAAGCUAUACGCUGAGUACAGUAGGACAAAAAGGGAAGAGACCAUGUCCCCAGUGACAGUCCAAAGAUCCUAUACCAUUCAUGGACAGCCUACUUUCAGAUUUCCUCUACCUGAGAAAAAUGGGAGAGAAUCUAAGGAGGAAAUGCACCGAUGUGCGCGAGCUGCGUUGAAACGCAUCAAAAAUAAGAUUGAGUGAUGAAGGGGUGAAGAAAUAGAUGGCCAAUGUCAUCCAUAAAGUGGCAGUGAACCAUUCAUUAUAGAAUCUAGGUGGUUUUCCUUCUUCCACUUCCUCCUUUUCCUUCCUGGAAAGCAGAUCCAAUGGCUGAAGGCACAAUGGUCCUUUGCAGCCACGAGGCAAGGAGCAUAAGAAUCAAAGCCUGCAUACUAAUAAUACUGGGACAGAAACAUGUGAAGGACUGCAUCUCAAUAGUAUUACCAGAGGGCUUUAUGGCUCUUUGGCUUGCUACUAGUUAUGUGAUGUAGUAGCCACAUGUGACUAUUUAAAUUUUAAUUUGAAUUAAUUAAAAUAAAUUAAAUUAAAUUUUCAGCCCCUCCAUGCACUUAGCCCAAUUUCAAGUCCUCAAUAGCUACAUGUAGCUAGUGGCUAAUGUGUUAAACAGCCAGAGUUUUAGAAUAGCUCAUCAAGACAUCUCUAGUUGACAACACCAGCCUAAAUCGUCCCCAACUGAUACAGUGUAUUUUGAAAGAAGCUAGAAAGAAAAAGGUGGUUUUUAAAUCACCUUCCAAUGGCCAAAUUGUGUGCAUUUCCCUUUAAGAGCCAUGUUUGUUUCGGACUAAAACUGAAACUACAGGGGUUUAUUCUGUUCCUCUUUUCACCAAAAAAAACAAGCCGUGAAGCUAAAGCCAUGCUGAAUUCUUCCAAACCAAUUAUGUUCCAUGAUCUCCCAGAGCCAGAAAAGAAAAAUGUCACAGCAAUUAUUUGAAGCAAUAGGCAGGCCUGGAAAAAGAGCCAGGUGCUGCAGAAAUACACGUGAAAAUCAGAAAAUAAUGAACCAAAACAGAAUAGAGUUGAUCUCUCUUCUACUUUCUAUUAACCGUCUUUGAAUGGCAUAUAAUGGACUUUGGGAGCUACCUGAUUUUUGGUAUAAUCAGGUAACUGGAGGAUUUUUAUGGCUUAGAGCCCUCAGAGAGGUUUCUGUGUAAUAGGCAUAGUCUCACAAAAUUGACUGCUAUAGCUUCACAUUUUUGUGGGCAUCUGUCAUCUGGGUGGUUUUUCUUCCUACAAUAUUGUAAUAUAAUACUGUAAUAAUAUAUUGUAAAAAAUAAAUAGAUAAAACAGGAACAAAACAAGAAAGUUUGUGUCCAACUAUUACUUGUUUGAAUCUUUACUUCUUUCAGUUUUGUUUGAACUGACCAAGAUAAGCUUCCUCUUCUACCAUCUGUGCAUUAAAUUCAAUGUAUCCAGGGGUGGGAUAAAACCAUGUUUAUAAUCAAACACAUGCACAGUGGUUUGCAUAGGACAUCACUCUUUAAUAUUUCCAUGCAUCACUCUGUGCUCAUCACAAUUGCACUCCCUGAUCCCCAUCACCUACUUAACUAUCUGGAAUUAAAGUUAAAUCUUAAAGUAAAAAAAAAAAAAAAGAAAAGAAAAGAAAAAACGAACAUUCUUUUCUUCCUAUGUAAACUUCUGCUAGCUUAUGCAUGGAUGAAUGUAAGAUCAGCCCUGGAAAAAGUGUGUCUU